UACAGAGGGGGCAAGCGUUAUUCGGAAUUAUUGGGCGUAAAGGGCGCGUAGGCGGCCAUUCAAGUGACGGGUGAAGGCCCUCGGCUUAACCGAGGAACUGCCUCCCAAACUGCUUGGCUUGAGACCGGGAGAGGUGAGUGGAAUUCCCAGUGUAGCGGUGAAAUGCGUAGAUAUCGGGAGGAACACCAGUGGCGAAGGCGGCGAUCUGGGAAGAUACUGACGCUGAGGUGCGAAAGCGUGGGGAGCAAACAGGG
rnacentral:rRNA from 1 species